GUCGAGCGGUAGAGAGGUGCUUGCACCUCUUGAGAGCGGCGGACCGCGUGAGUAAAGCCUAGGAAUCUGCCUGGUAGUGGGGGAUAACGCUCGGAAACGGACGCUAAUACCGCAUACGUCCUACGGGAGAAAGCAGGGGACCUUCGGGCCUUGCGCUAUCAGAUGAGCCUAGGUCGGAUUAGCUAGUUGGUGAGGUAAUGGCUCACCAAGGCGACGAUCCGUAACUGGUCUGAGAGGAUGAUCAGUCACACUGGAACUGAGACACGGUCCAGACUCCUACGGGAGGCAGCAGUGGGGAAUAUUGGACAAUGGGCGAAAGCCUGAUCCAGCCAUGCCGCGUGUGUGAAGAAGGUCUUCGGAUUGUAAAGCACUUUAAGUUGGGAGGAAGGGCAUUAACCUAAUACGUUAGUGUUUUGACGUUACCGACAGAAUAAGCACCGGCUAACUCUGUGCCAGCAGCCGCGGUAAUACAGAGGGUGCAAGCGUUAAUCGGAAUUACUGGGCGUAAAGCGCGCGUAGGUGGUUCGUUAAGUUGGAUGUGAAAUCCCCGGGCUCAACCUGGGAACUGCAUUCAAAACUGUCGAGCUAGAGUAUGGUAGAGGGUGGUGGAAUUUC
rnacentral:rRNA from 1 species